rnacentral:rRNA from 1 species
AGAGCGAACGCUGGCGGCAGGCCUAACACAUGCAAGUCGAGCGCCCGUAGCAAUACGGGAGCGGCAGACGGGAUAGUAACACGUGGGAACGCGCCCUUCGGUUCGGAAUAACUCAGGGAAACUUGAGCUAAUACCGGAUACGCCCUUACGGGGAAAGAUUUAUUGCCGAAGGAACGGCCCGCGUCCGAUUAGCUAGUUGGUGAGGUAAUGGCUCACCAAGGCGACGAUCGGUAGCUGGUCUGAGAGGAUGACCAGCAUCACUGGGACUGAGACACGGCCCAGACUCCUACGGGAGGCAGCAGUGGGGAAUAUUGGACAAUGGGCGCAAGCCUGAUCCAGCCAUGCCGCGUGGAUGAUGAAGGCCUUAGGGUUGUAAAGUCCUUUAACGGGAAGAUAAUGACGGUACCCGUAGAAUAAGCCCGGCUAACUUCGCGCCAGCAGCCGC